rnacentral:rRNA from 1 species
CCUACGGGGGCUGCAGUGGGGAAUAUUGGACAAUGGGCGAAAGCCUGAUCCAGCCAUGCCGCGUGUGUGAAGAAGGCCUUCGGGUUGUAAAGCACUUUCAGUGGGGAAGAAAGCCUUGGGGCUAAUACCCUCGAGGAAGGACAUCACCCACAGAAGAAGCCCCGGCUAACUCCGUGCCAGCAGCCGCGGUAAUACGGAGGGUGCGAGCGUUAAUCGGAAUUACUGGGCGUAAAGCGCGCGUAGGCGGUCUGAUAAGCCGGUUGUGAAAGCCCCGGGCUCAACCUGGGAACGGCAUCCGGAACUGUCAGGCUAGAGUGCAGGAGAGGAAGGUAGAAUUCCCGGUGUAGCGGUGAAAUGCGUAGAGAUCGGGAGGAAUACCAGUGGCGAAGGCGGCCUUCUGGACUGACACUGACGCUGAGGUGCGAAAGCGUGGGUAGCAAACAGGAUUAGAUACCCCAGUAGUC